CUCUGAUUCGAAUAUAAAACACUGGAAUGAAUUGAGAAAGAAAUCGAUAGUGCAAAUCUUUGGUUGGAAAUCCCAGAAGACCCAAGUCAGCACUGGAAAGAGGAGGAAGCUUUCAUUCAACCAAGAGUAAUUUCAGUGAUAAGAUAAUAGGUAUACAAAGUAAAUCCACAAAAACCAUACCGCAAUGUGUCAAGUUCAAGAUUGAAUAGAAGUGUUGGGGUUGACAUUGCAAAUUUUUCCUGCACAUUCCCAUCAAUCACAGCAGGUGGCAUAACUUCUGCAAUUUCAGAUGCAUGCAAAGAGAAGUGCAGGUAUGAUGAAAGAGAUAUGCAAGUAUGACACUAGCCAGGGUUAUUGUCCAAUUGAGGUGCUCACAACUUCAGGAUUUUAUACGACCAAAGAAUUUUCAUGUGAACUAUAACUAAAAUUAGUGACUCUAAGAGAGUAACAUUGGAGCGAGUGGUUAAAGACAUCAAAUAGUUCACUACAUACUUGAUAUCCAGAGAUGCAAAUGCAUUGAAAUGAUUCUUUCUUUUUUUUUGAUGAAUUAGAUCCUACAAUUUUAGAGUGCUUAUGUUGGAAUGGAAUGGAAGUACCCAGAUAAACAUGAAUGGUAUUACUAGAAUAAACAAACAUGUCCGCAUCUGUGCUGUCAUUAUUUUCUGCAUGGAUUGAUCAACAUUAUAUUAAAACCAAUGAAUUUAUACAGAUUACUUAAUCAGAAAACCAACAAAAAGAUGUGCCAGACCCUGUGAAAGAGAAAGAGUGAAAUGAUCAACAUUGAAAAAAUAAAAAAAUUGCAACCAGUAUUUCCUUGCUAAGGAUACAGGAGGGG